rnacentral:lncRNA from 1 species
UGUAUGUGUAUAUACAUAUGUAUCAUGUAAACAAGUUAGCAGCAUCUUUACCAGCCUUUCCUGGAAUAUUUAUGAUGCCACUAAACAGUAAUAGCAUGAGAGACAGGCCCACAGUCUAGACUGGGUUGAGUUUUGAUUAAACUUCUUCAGCCAUAACCUGAACAGAAUCAGGUCCCAUCCGGAAGUUAUCAGACUGCAGGCCUGUAUUUUGUGAGCCAACAGUAAUAUUUACUGCCAGCCUUGCAUAACAAUGCCCUUUGUGACUGCAUGUGACUUUUGGUAGCUGUAGUUUAUGUCUAAAAGCAGUUCGAGUUUUAUAGAGGUAAUUCAUGAUUAUUUGGACAAGCAGGGUG